rnacentral:rRNA from 1 species
CACGGGGGGAGCAAGCGUUGUUCGGAAUCACUGGGCGUAAAGGGCGUGUAGGCGGUCAAGUAAGUGGAAUGUGAGAGCCCCCGGCUUACCCGGGGAUCUGCAUCCCAAACUGCUUGGCUUGAGUACGGGAGAGGAUAGGGGAAUUCCUGGUGUAGCGGUGAAAUGCGUAGAUAUCAGGAGGAACACCGGUGGCGAAGGCGCCUAUCUGGCCCGAUACUGACGCUGAGGCGCGAAAGCUAGGGGAGCAAACGGG